ensembl:lncRNA
CUUUUCUCUCCUUGAUUCAGUGAGAAGGUGAAGGGCUCCAUGAAUCAGAGGCUACUGAUGUUGCUGCAUAUCGAAGUUAGUGGGUCUUCUAUAGAGAAAAGCGUUCUUUAAUCAGCAUCUUUUACUUUACUGAAAUUAACUCUGCUAUGCUAAUAUAGUCUUACUGAUUAAAGACCCUAAGCUUUGCUCUAAUAGUCUGAAUUACUGCUAGGAUAAUGACAUGUCUGCUUCUAAAAGUCCUGUGCGUUCCAACCAAAUUACAUCUGUAUUUGUGCAUGGAUAAAUAUGAAUUAUUCUCACAUAAUUUACAUCAAACAUCCUUCCUGUUUCAAAAAUACCAUGGGAGAGAAAGUGACCACGUCACCUGGCAGUCAUCCUUUGCUUUCAUAAAGACCUGUUGGGAGAACAGACACCCCUCCUGGCUUUUAAAAAGGAAAGAAAUCUGUAGGAGAAAUCCUCUUACAUGCAUAGAGUGAGUCAGGCUCCUGUACAGCAAGAAUACCUGCAUCUGUGCUGUAAGGUGGAAGAAGAAAAUCUAGUUUGACACUGUACAGUAAUGGAGAAGAAAGCAAGCAAGGAAGAAACAACUAUACUUGAUUUAUGAUUUGCAAUGUCUAACGUAUUGCUUUUGCACCAAGGAUGCACGUAUGGGAGUGACAUCACACCUGGCGAAGCUCUGAAAUCAAAUGACUGCUGUGGAAAUAACUGCUCCUAGCCUGUGACUGUGGUGCAAGUGGGACAUGUCAUGAGAGCAGUGCUGCAGCGAGGCGAGUGCAGCAGAGAAAAUGACUGAGGGUGAAGCCAAUGCACUUGUAGCAGCACUUGGUACCGCCACGUGAUUGCCCCCAUCCCCGCUCCCUGGCUGGUGGUGCAUGAGGCCCGUAAGCCCCUCAGUGCUUAUUUUAAGAUGGGGCUCAUCAGUUGACUUAAGCUUUAGGUGAUCUCUCACAGUGCCAUCUCUGUGAUUUCCAUUUUUGUCCAGAACCUCUGCUUGGCCUCAUGCUUUGCUGGCUGACAGGUUGCCUGGAGGUUGCGUGCCUGGCAGAAGCAACUCUCUCCCUUGGUUGACCUGAGGGACUUCAGAUUUAGUUGUUCCUACCAUCUCACUCGCAAUGAAGAGAAAAAGUUUUACAACUUACACUAUAUUAAAUCUUAAAAAGAAGGUGGCCAUUAUUAAUGAAACUGAAACCUUUCCUUGCUGUAAGUUACCACAAAAUUUGAUCUGAGCUAAUGUAAUUUCAGGGAAAUGUAAUACACUGCAAUCUUGGCUACCAGCAAGAGGCCAAAUGUGAUACAUACCCCCUUUUAUGGUCUUCACAACAUUAGCCCAAUUUGCAGAACAAACACAUCCAGCCUUCAGCCCUCGUGCUUUGACUCAUGCAUAAGGCAGCUAAUAAGAUUGACGCGUCCAGUGGUGCUCCAGGACAAAACUCCCCCUGGCAUCGGUGAGAGCUGCUCCAGCGCCUGCGUUCUCCCAGCAAAACUGCCUGCUUAACAGCUCCUCUGAGAGGCACUCGCAGCCCCAGGAGAAGAAGGUCAGAGCCACAGUAGCAGCAGCUCGCAGAGGUUAGGCUCUCUCCCACGCUUGGCAAUAGUGAGGGGGUUGAAGGGAUCUCUGGAAGUCUCCAGUUCAGAGUAAAACUGUUAUUCACACUAAGUCAGGAAGAUCAUAAUACCUUUUUUAUUUUUAUUAUUAUUAUUAUUAUUAGAGUAAAGGGAGGUUGGAUUUGUGGACCUUUAAGGAGUACAGCUUGCAUGGUGGUACAGGACACAAAUCACUAACCAGCUUUAGGCCACGAGUUAAACAUUAGAGAGAAAUGGUAACUAUUAAACUCACUUAGUACAGACUUGUGCUGACAUUAUUCCUGCUACCCAAGCUGCAUUCACUAGAAACAAGAAUUAUUUUUUUAAACUGCAGAUAUCUUUCUUCUCUAGACUGGCCUGAAAGGCCCCUACGGGUAAAAUAGAGAAAAUCCAGCAAGGAAUUGAUGGCAUCCCUGUGUGCCAGGGUCACAGGAGGACAGAAAACACAAAGUGUUUUGAAAUGGAUACUCCCAAAAUUCAUGUGAUGGGGAUAAAUAAAUACUGGGUGAAACCAUGGAAGCCUCCAGGAUCAGAUCCUGUAACUGAGCAGUAAGGAGAGCUGUCAUUACAUGACCGCAGAAUUUCAGGGCUCAUGGAAAAACACAGAUGAGCAUGACUUGGAGCCUCCUGGAAACGGUUAUGCUCUGUUCCUCCCACACCAGAGAGGUGGCAUGCUCGAGCUCAGCGGCACAGAACACCCCUUGGCCCAGCACAGAUGGACAGCCCCACACCUGUGUAAGCUUCAAGAGGCAUGAGAGGAGCAUCCACCGUCUCAUUUCCUCCACUGUUGAAAGCAGGGGAGAAACUGCCACACCUUGUCCUUGAGCAGCUCCAAAGCUGGAGCUAUGUGAAUUCUGCUGUGAAAUCCCAUCCCACCGGAGCUGGUUUUGUACCACGUGGUUUUCCUCCCCUUCCAGCUCCUGCUCGCAGUUCAGCCGAGGUAAUUUAGCUGUAACCAUUCUGUAAUACUAGCUCUUGGGCUGCUGUAGUGCCCUUUGCUGCUGGACCUGCCUGAGCAUGCUGGCGCUUGCUGCAGGAGGAGGAUGCGGUGGGAUGGCUGCGGUACCAGCUGUAGCCCAGACCUAGCUGACCCGUGCCAGGCCAUGUAUGCGGAUGGCAAAAUACCAUCUACCCUUUUGGAAACCAAUCUGCUCCAUUAACUGAUGUCAGGGACCAAACCACAGCGCCGUUCUGAUGAGAAACGACGUGUGUUGUGGGAAUGCAUGGCUGGUUUCCACAAGCCUUAUCACAAGGCAAAUCUUUUAACAGUCUUUCAUGCCCAUUUUUUAAUUUUUCCUCCUUUUUUUUUUAAUCUUUAAAUGGAGAAAUGGUUGCUACAGUCCUGCUGUUAAGCAUUUCUUAAGUUUUGAAGCAUUUUCACAGUCUGUAUACAUACCGAAAAUCAGGAUGAAGAGACCUUUUGCCCUUCUGCUCUACGGGAGGUCUCUGCCCUUCCCGAGCUCGCCUUCGGACCCCACGUUAGGCUCUGACAGGUGUACCCCCCCAGGCAAACUCUGGCAGCGGCUCCAACGCGGCGGGGCCGGGAGUAGCUCCGUGACCCCCUGCAAUUCCAAGAGCGGCCCCUUGGGGGCGCAGCGAGCGGCGCGGGCAGACGGCGCGGCAGUGCGACGGGGUACCGCUGUCCUCUCGGCAGAGCGGCUCACCGGUCCGCUGCCUCCCAGGCUACAAAUCCAGCCGUGGUCCCCAUUAGGCAGAAAGCUCUUGCCAAAAGGAACGUGGCUACCCAGACUGAGUGCCUACCCACUCUUCGGGUCUCUAGAUGCGGGGGGUGCCUGAGCCUGCUGCUGCCCCCGCACGAUGGCAGAAAUACCAUCUGCAUGAGGUGGAUGACCUGCUCAGCCUGGUGGCAGAGCUGAAGAGAUUAAAGAGCAUCAGGGAGUGUGAGCAGGAGACAAACUGGUGGAGCAGCUCCCUGCCAUAUCUGUGAGAAAGGCAGCGGUGUGAUAACAAUUCAGAUAAGCAGUGGACCCCUUGCCCUGUUGCAGUCGGGCAGGGGGUGGGGAACCUAAGAGACAGAAAGGAAUGGAAACAGAACUCCCUCCCUACCUAUGCUGCCUUCCCAGAUGCAUUUACACCAUAGGUUUGAGGCUCUGGAACUCCAAAGACAGGUGCAGAUGCUGUGGGAGGUCCACCCAGGAGGUUGUCUAUGGCAAGGCGGUUGACUCCACGCCUCAAGACUCCUCUGCCAAGAAGGAAAGAAGGGCUCCCUUUAAGUACUGGAAUGCCACAACGAGGUCUCCCUGGAGCCUUCUCUUUCCAGCAUGAACAAAGCUGCCUCCCUCAGCCUUUCUUCACAGAAGAGGUGCUCCAGCCCUUUGAUCAUCUUUGUCGCUCUCCUCUGGACCCGCUCCACCCAAGAGGCAGAAAUAACCCAGCAAGUAUGUGAGCAAAGUCCUCCUCUGUCAGCAAAAGGCAUGCUCUGGGCUGCUUACUAUGCUGUGCAAUAGCAAAAAUGGGGGGCAGUGAAUUAAUACCCCCAGUGCUAACUCAAGGCCUCCCACCCCAUAGCCUGCUGGGCUCUAAUUGGCCUGGCUGCAAACUUGUGCUGGAAAACAUUAGUUUGGGUUGUAAACGCAGGAGGAACCCAUCUUCAGAAUUAGCUUAGUGGUAUCUGGAUGCUAAUCCAUUAUUUUAAUAUUAUAGAAAUAUAAAUGUACUUUAAUAUUAUUUCAUUAGUAAAGUAUUAAUGUGCUAUUAAUAAACAUAUUCCAC